GCCUUCAUGGUGCAGUGAUAAGCACGCUCGGCGCGUAUUCGAGAGGUCCGUGGUUCGAAUCCCGGCGACGGCU
rnacentral:tRNA from 1 species